UCCCCUCGACGGCAAGCUACGUCCUUUGAAUCAUCAGAAAAUGAAUUUUGCUUUUAUAAUCAACCUCUAUCUAUCAAUUUAAAUAGUUUCAUUCAACUCAUUAAAUCAUUGGUCAAAGAACAGAGAUGAGGGUGAUUAGAUUUAGAAGCUCAAAUAUGUAACAAAAAUCUCUGCGAACAACUAUGUUCCUAGUUCAAUACUUGAUUGAAGCAAUAAUUUCAAGUUGAGAGCCAACUGCCAAGCUUCUCCUCAGCAACCUUCUCGGUUUGAUCCGCAGUUUAUUUAACUGCGGCUUCCUCUCGUAUGUGCCUGAGCUCUCUCUUUCCUCGUCUUUUCAAGCUCCUUCAAUAUUAAAUAUAGUCGUUGCGGUUAGAAAAGUUUAAAAAGUUUAUAAGGUGGUCGGUAAUACAUAACCCAAACUAUGAUGAAAGACCUAUACAAGUAUUGUGGGCUCUAUGGAAUGUGUCAAAGUAUAAGGUGUGGGUCCGACAAAACGUGUGGAUAAAAGGUGCCAAACAUGCAAUAAAUAUGAAAACCAACAUCCUGAAAAUUCGCACACACGUCAAACAAUAAUGACAUCUAAAUAAUUUGCCUCAAGAAGUCCAAGAACCAGGGCAAUGACAAAUUUUAGCAGCAAAUAAAUGGAAGGAAAAAAUGUAAUGCCUGAACUAGGGAGAAGAAACAAAAGUACAAAACCAUCAAGGAUGGCGAAGUAACAACAAAUUGGGAAGCGUACUCUUAAAUCAGGGAAUUUACAGUGACAUCAGAAAAUUAGAAAUAGAUGGUGUUGUCAGAGGAAACCAAACAAAGAGAUCCACCAAGGCCCUGUUUGGUGCACAUUAAUGUAAAAAUGAAAAUGUAAAAUAUAGUCGUUACAGGCUCCACACAAGAGAUAGAAAAUCAAAGGUCAUAUUUUUCAUUUUAAUAAACAAAUGAUGGAAAACGAAUGGGGGUUAAAUUUUGAGAAAAUGCAUCGCAUAACAAAAAACAAAAGAAUUGUCACAUGAAAUUUGAAGUAGGCAAGACUCAAUCUUAGGCAAAUGGCUAUAAAGAUAAUGAUCAACAAUUUAGCCCCCGUCUGAACCCCAUUUUUUGAGAAUAGAUUUCAUAAAGGGGAUUAUUAUUAUUAUUAUUAUUUUUUUAUUGAAGAAUGUACGGUUAAAGAGUGAGAAAAAAAUUAUAUGUAAAAUUAUUUUAUUAGAAGAAUAUAUAGUUGAAGCUCAAACAGGGGCUAAACAAGAGAACUCAUGUUAAUGUGACGAACUGCAAAUCCAAAGGUGAUUGAUUUGCACAACAGUGUGCACAGAAAUGGUAGCGAGUAAACUUGGCCUUAUAGUAGUAUAAUGGUUCCAUCCGACUUCCGAUGAGAGUCUACCCAACAAACAGAACCUAUGUCUAGCUUGGAGCCUCAGAAUCCUAAUCAUCAAACAGUAAGUAAGUUGAAAAGAUCCUAAUGCACCACAUUUUUAUAACAAAUAAAUAAAGAAAGACCAUGCCAUCAAACUCACUUGAGAGCAUCUGGAAUGACCAUCCUUUCAUCUUGUCAUACGGUGGGGGGGGGGGGGGGGACACCCUCAUAAACCUUCCAGCUGCUCCUCGUUUAGUCUUGUGGGGAAUCAUCCUGCCAAAACCGAUUUUGCCGAAUGAAUCUUUCCGUAUGUAUUCCAUUUAAUUUAUAGAAUACACAAGGAAAGUAAAUUUCUGUACAACCAAAUUAAAUCCCUAAUUCUAAGCAAGUUAUAUAUGGUAACUGCUGAUAGCACGAAAUCAUCUAAUACUAUUGGAAAUAAUUGAGUACUUCAGUUAAAAACAAGGAUUAUUCUAAACAAACAAGGGCCGUGACAGGCUCCUGUGACAGGGCGCCGAUUCACAAGGGCCCGUCGUGGCCCCUAUCAUAGUAGCAAAACCCUAAAAACAAUACAUUAACAAGAACGCAGGUAUUAUGAUUUAUCCCAAGAAGAUUUUGAAUUUUUUUUCUAUUCAUAUUAUAUUAUAAUAAAAUGUUCUCAGCAGCCUCAUCAAAUGGAACCUUGUUCCGCUCAGUGACAACUAUUAACUCAUUCGUGAGAAUAGAAAUUACUCAACACAAAAUUGAUGAAUUACUGAAAUUCAGAAAUAAUUAUGGUUUGAUAUUCUAAACAAACAAAAUUAAAUAAUUAAAUUACAUAUACCUGAUAAUAGCGCACAAUAUUCCAGUGGUCCAAACGUGCCAUUGCCCUAACCUUUGUGACAUUUAGUGUUACACGUCAAAAAGUCAAUAAAGAUGUUCUGAACAAAGAGCAGCUAAAUGUACACCCCACAAGAUACCUCAACCAGAGGAUAUAAAACAUGAAAUGCCAGAGGAUAUACCAUCACUUCUUUUUCGAGGACUCAAAUCUCAACUAUACUAAAAUAAAUAAUUAGAUAUUCAUAUUUUAGGCAUCCAAGCACCCUUCCAAUGAUAUCGUACAUGAAUAAAUAAUUUUCAAUCUUUCAGAUACUUUUGCCAUUUAACCUAUUGCUUCUUGUAAAAAAAGAAAAAAUAAAAUUUGAAAAAAUGAAUGGUACAAGGUAUUUACUUUUAAUUAAGAUAUAGAUAUUAUUGAUAUUCAAUUGAUAAAUAUCAAUAUUGAUGUGAUAGCUGAGGACUGUUCAGUAUUGUGGUGGAUAAUAAACAAAUUUUGACUCAAGCAAAUUUGAUUCAGCACCUCACCUAUAUGCAAAUUUAAAGACAAAAUUUUAGUGUUCAUCAUUAAAUGUAAUUUUCUUCACAGCGCAAAUUGCAUUUUCAACCUUAUGUCAACAUUCGAAAACGUGGCCAUGACAUCCUUCCUUGGAGAAAUAAAUAGAAUAACAUCCACACUGUCAGAGAACAGAAUUCAGGUAAUCAAACGCUAAAAGCUAAUCCUAAAAAUGAUAAAAGAAAGAAGUUCGUGAAUGUUAUGAAUUUGACUGCAAAUCAUUCUGCGGGUCAUGGCCAAGUUUCAAUAUUAACCAGAGUCAUUUACUCUUCAUCUUAAGGAUAGAAAGUUGCUGUUCAAAUUUUUUUGGUAUAUUUCAUCAUCGAUUUAUUUAUUGUGUUAGCCUUAGAAUUCAAAGAUGGAUCAAUGGAUUCAUAUUUCAUGGUUGGGGUUUCUUGCUCUGAAAUUAUGGAUUUGGUUUAGAUAGUGCAUGAAAUAUUGGAUUGCGUUUAAGAUCUCACAGUUAGUUGAGAUGUUGAUACAUAGAUACAAAUAUAUAUAAUAUAAACAUACGUAUAUAGCAAUAAUUUAGACCCUGCAGAGGCAAUUAUUGUUUAAGAUCUCUCUACCCACUUUUAUAUUUUAGACCCUGCGGAGGCAGAUAUUGUCUAUAUUCUAUAAGCAAUAUUAACUAUAUUCUAUAAGUAGUAUUAACUAAACUUACACCUCUGUCAUAAUAGAACUUCAUUCUCUUCAAAUGCAAAUAGAGCUUUAUUCACGGUGUAACUGACUACAGUUCUUUGCUAGGCUAUAAAAGUGAACCUGAGAGCUCAUUUUGCAUGAGACUAUAAUUGAAAUUGAAUUUUAAUUAUAUUGGAUUUUGCUGUCUACAAAUUCUUCUUCUCUCUCCCAUAUAUUUCUCUAUCUUUAUCUUCUGCUCUUUUUUCUCUCCAUUAUCUUCUCUCGUCUCUCUUGAUAAAGUUCUAUUCAAUUGGUAUUCGCUCCUCUGACCAAAUCUAAGUCAACGCUAUGUUUUCUGGUAGUCUUUGUCAAAAGAAAACAAAAAAAGAAUUAGUUUUCAGCAUUACUCAUUGAGCAAAAUAUAUUUAGAGUCCUGUUCAAAAAAAAGGUAAGUUUUUGUAGAUAAUUAAUUGAAGUUAACAUGCAAUCGGAACCACCACAACUUAAGAACCAGAGUCAAAAUAGAAAAUCACUAAAGUCCCAUUAUAUCACAUGUAUCAUUUUUACUGUCAUCAAGACAAACACCAUAUUUGUAAUAUCUAGAUUCUUAACAUCAUCAUAAUUCCAAGGUUUGUGAUUUAUCAUCACUAUGAAGUUAUGGUCAUCAUUUUCUGCUUCCAUUAUUGAUAUGCAGAGGAAAAUGAUCAUAUAAUUAUAUUUCUAUAGAGUUCACACAAGAAUUAAAACCAUCAUAUUAAAUAUAUAUGCUGGAAAAACUGUCAUGACCACUUAAUCUUCUUAGUCACAAUAUAUUCAUUUUUACAUAAGUUCGAAUUGCACAAGCAGAAUCAGUCUUUAUCCAAUAUCUAUCUCAAAAGGUGACUGAUUAGUGUUAGCACGCAGGACACUUUCUUAAGAUCUAAAAGCACCAAUACUUCACAUGAACAUGCAUCAAGCUUCAUUACUUUUCAGGUUAUGCAUCAAACCAGUAUCAAGUGCAAUAACCAAGUUCAAUCUAAACAACUCAAUCCAAAAACACCAAAACCAAGUCUUGAUCUCCCUAUAAUUGGUACCUUAGAAGUUGGCUCAAGCACUAAACCACCAUAAUUAUACUUCCAUAACCUUUGAAGUAAAUGUUCACAUAUUUCAAUUUUAAGGCACAUAAGAAUAAAGAUAACCAUAUGCAGCAUAAACAGAUAAUGAAGAAACAAAUCUUUUUAUUUAGAUUUUUGUUUUCAAAAUACUCAUGUUUACAAACUAAGGAAAAUACUAUUAUAAGUUUUUACCUCAUUAUUAAGAAAAUUUAUCAAACUGCACGGUUCAAAGAUCUCAUCCUCCUCUUGCAGGCAUCGCAUGCUAGAGGAUGGAGUGGAAACAGACAUAUGGUUUCCAUAUAUGUCCAUUUGAAAUUCCAAACUCACUUUUAUGUCGUCUCCACAAUCUAAUAUCCUGUGGUGGCACAAAAGAAUUUAUAACAAAAUACUACACAUAUGCUUUGCCGGCAAAGAGCUACUUAAUAUAUGUAGAAUUGUUAAUGGCUUUCAUCUAAAUGUUUUCUAUUAUACACACACGAUUUACAAUACAUAUUUCCACAUUUAUCAAUAUAAACACACAAAAAUAAACAGAAAUGCACAUACCAGAAUAAUAUACAAAGGUGUACUUGAUUUUUGCAGAAUUUUUGAUGACUAAAUUACAUAUUUUGUAAGUAUUAUGCCCUAGGUCCAAUCAACUUUGGACAUAAAUACUUUUAUAUAUAAUUAAUGCAAUUAAAUGGCAGAUCUAUUAUUUAAUUAAUAGACAAUUAAAUAAAUAAUAGAAUCCGUAGA
rnacentral:lncRNA from 1 species